UGGGGAAUUUUGGCAAUGGGCGAAAGCCUGAUCCAGCAAUGCCGCGUGUGUGAAGAAGGCCUUCGGGUUGUAAAGCACUUUUGUCCGGAAAGAAAUCCUUGGCUCUAAUACAGUCGGGGGAUGACGGUACCGGAAGAAUAAGCACCGGCUAACUACGUGCCAGCAGCCGCGGUAAUACGUAGGGUGCAAGCGUUAAUCGGAAUUACUGGGCGUAAAGCGUGCGCAGGCGGUUUGCUAAGACCGAUGUGAAAUCCCCGGGCUCAACCUGGGAACUGCAUUGGUGACUGGCAGGCUAGAGUAUGGCAGAGGGGGGUAGAAUUCCACGUGUAGCAGUGAAAUGCGUAGAGAUGUGGAGGAAUACCGAUGGCGAAGGCAGCCCCCUGGGCAAGUACUGACGCUCAUGCACGAAAGCGUGGGGAGCAAACNGGAUUAAUACCCUGGUAGUCCACGCCCUAAANGAUGUCAACUAGUUGUUGGGGAUUCAUUUCCUUAGUAACGUAGCUAACGCGUGAAGUUGACCGCCUGGGGAGUACGGUCGCAAGAUUAAAACUCAAAU
rnacentral:rRNA from 1 species